UAGGGAAUAUUGGUAAUGUGCGAAAGCGCGAACCAGCAACGCCGCGUGCACGAUGAAGGCCUUCGGGUUGUAAAGUGCUUUUAGAGAGGAUGAGGAAGGACAGUACUUUCUGAAUAAGCCUCGGCUAACUACGUGCCAGCAGCCGCGGUAAAACGUAGGAGGCUAGCGUUAUCCGGAUUUACUGGGCGUAAAGCGCGUGCAGGUGGUUUCGUAAGUUGGAUGUGAAAGCUCCUGGCUUAACUGGGAGAGGUCGUUCAAAACUGCGAGGCUUGAGAGUGGUAGAGGGAGGUGGAAUUCCUGGUGUAGUGGUGAAAUGCGUAGAUAUCCGGAGGAACACCAGUGGCGAAAGCGGCCUCCUGGACCAUUUCUGACACUCAGACGCGAAAGCUAAGGUAGCAAACG
rnacentral:rRNA from 1 species